rnacentral:rRNA from 1 species
CCCUUAGAUGUUCUGGGCCGCACGCGCGCUACACUGACAGGGACAGCGAGUAUUUUCCUUGGCAGAAAUGUCUGGGUAAUCUUGUGAAACCUUGUCGUGCUGGGGAUAGAGCAUUGCAAUUAUUGCUCUUCAACUAGGAAUGCCUAGUAAACGUGAGUCAUCAGCUCAUGUUGAUUACGUCCCUGCCCUUUGUACACACCGCCCGUCGCUACUACCGAUUGAAUGGCUUAGUGAGGCCCUCGGAUUGGCUUUGAGGGACCGGAAACGGUCCUUCGUUGCUGAGAAGUUGGUCAAACUUGGUCAUUUAGAGGAAGUAAAANUCGUANCA